AUGUACAUCAUCAACCCCUGCACUGAAAGGACUUUUGAACCUCAGAUAAGAUGCUUCCAACUUGAAACAGAACAGUCCAGAACUGAUUUGCACAGAACUUUUGAUUGUGCUUGUGAAAGUGUUGUCACAGGUGGCAAAGACAGAUGAGAGUGUGGAGCCAUCAUUCACACCAGCAUCAAGGGCCAAGAAGGUUGGUCUGGAGCUGGCUAAGGUUCAUCUGCAGGGCUAUGGAUAGUUGUUGUUCCUUCCAGGGUAAAACAGUGAAGAUGACCCACCACCAGCGUUUACCCAUUGUUUCCCAUUGGGA
rnacentral:lncRNA from 1 species